AGUGGGACAGGAGAGUGAAUGAAAAGUGUGCGAGGGGUAAAGUUGUGAGUCGGGGCCGAACAGGGCCGAGACUCCUCCUUCUAAUCUGAGUCUAAACACAGAGAUCACAGCUUCUUUCCUCUUUCUACUCACAGUGACUCAACACUGCAGAUAUGACGCCUCUGUUCAUCUCAGUGCUGCUGGCUGCUCUGUGUCUUGAAGGCAGAGCACAACAAGACACUGUGCUGCAACCAGAAGGAGACGUGACUGCGACUGAAGGAGAAGCAGCAACACUUGGCUGUCGAUACGUCAGCAGCUCAGCAAGUGCAUCUCUCCUCUGGUACAAACAGGAAGGAACCAACAGCCCAAAAUUCAUCCUGAGCCACUUUCAACUGGGAGAAGGAAACAAGGCAGACGACUUCAGAGAGAGAUUUUCAUCCACACUGAAUUCCACAUCAUUUCCUCUGAAGAUCCAGAAGCUGCAGCCGUCUGACUCUGCUGUGUACUACUGUGCUCUGCAGCCCACAGUGACAGGAAACUACACAACUCUGUACAAAAACCUGUGGAGCAAAGACAAUACUCCUCUUCCUCCACCAGAGGGAGGCACUCACUGUUACUCUCACAACCUGAGCUGAGUCGCUGCACCAACC